rfam:Alistipes sp. CAG:831 genomic scaffold, scf41
GGCUCUGUAGUUCAACGGAUAGAACGGCGGUUUCCUAAACCGCAAAUAUGGGUUCGAUUCCCAUCGGAGCUA